CAGGGAUUGCCCUAGUAACGGCGAGUGAAGCGGCAACAGCUCAAAUUUGAAAUCUGGCUACAUUUCGUGGUCCGAGUUGUAAUUUGUAGAGGAUGCUUUUGGUGAGGUGCCUUCCGAGUUCCCUGGAACGGGACGCCAUAGAGGGUGAGAGCCCCGUACGGUUGGACACCAAACCUCUGUAUAGCUCCUUCAACGAGUCGAGUAGUUUGGGAAUGCUGCUCUAAAUGGGAGGUAUAUCUCUUCUAAAGCUAAAUAUAGGCUAGAGACCGAUAGCGCACAAGUAGAGUGAUCGAAAGAUGAAAAGCACUUUGAAAAGAGAGUUAAACAGCACGUGAAAUUGUUGAAAGGGAAGCGCCUAUGACCAGACUUGUUUCUGGCAGUUUCGUUAGCCUUCGGGCUGAUUUACUCUGUCCAGUACAGGCCAGCAUCAGUUUGCUGUCGGGGAGAAAGGCUCUGGGAACGUAGCUCCCCUCUUCGGGGGGGAGUGUUAUAGCCCUCUGCAUAAUACCCUUCGGCAGACUGAGGACCGCGCUUCGGCAAGGAUGCUGGCGUAAUGGUCAUCAGCGACCCGUCUUGAAACACGGACCAAGGAGUCAACCUUAUGUGCGAGUGUUUGGGUGUAAAACCCCAGCGCGUAAUGAAAGUGAACGUAGGUGAGAGCUUCGGCGCAUCAUCGACCGAUUCUGAUGUUUUCGGAUGGAUUUGAGUAAGAGCACACAGGGUUGGACCCGAAAGAAGGUGAACUAUGCUUGUAUAGGGUGAAGCCAGAGGAAACUCUGGUGGAGGCUCGCAGCGGUUCUGACGUGCAAAUCGAUCGUCAAAUAUGAGCAUGGGGGCGAAAGACUAAUCGAACCUUCUAGUAGCUGGUUCCAGCCGAAGUUUCCCUCAGGAUAGCAGUGUUGAAUUUUCUUCAGUUUUAUGAGGUAAAGCGAAUGAUUAGGGACUCGGGGGCGCUAUAUUGCCUUCAUCCAUUCUCAAACUUUAAAUAUGUAAGAAGCCCUUGUUACUUAAUUGAACGUGGGCAUUCGAAUGUAUCAACACUAGUGGGCCAUUUUUGGUAAGCAGAACUGGCGAUGCGGGAUGAACCGAUCGCGUGGAUAAGGCGCCAGAGUGAACGCUCAUCAGACACCACAAAAGGUGUUAGUACAUCUUGACAGCAGGACGGUGGCCAUGGAAGUCGGAAUCCGCUAAGGACUGUGUAACAACUCACCUGCCGAAUGUACUAGCCCUGAAAAUGGAUGGCGCUCAAGCGUUCCGCCCAUACCACGCCCUCAGGGUAGGAUCUAUGCCCUGAGGAGUAGGCUGGCGUGGAGGUCGUGACGAAGCCUAG
rnacentral:rRNA from 3 species